ensembl:lncRNA
GGGGGCGGCCGGCGGGGGCGCGGGCGGAAGAUGGCGAACGUGGGGCUGCAGUUCCAGGCCAGCGCCGGGGACGCGGACCCGCAGAACCGGCCCCUGCUGCUGCUCGGGCAGCUGCACCACCUGCACCGCGUGCCCUGGAGCCACGUCCGCGGGAAGCUGCAGCCCCGGGUCACCGAAGAGCUCUGGCAGGCUGCUCUGGCCACGCUCAACCCCAACCCCACGGACAGCUGUCCCCUCUACCUGAACUACGCCCACCGUGGCAGCCUUGCCCUCCAGAGUGAGUCGGCACAACAGCCCCUCCGGCUGCCCAUUUCCUCACCCGGCUGGUGCGGACCUGUCUGCCACCCGGAGCCCAGCGCUGCAUCCUGAUGGUCUGUGAGCAGUCUGACAUCUUCGCAUCAGCCUGCGCCCUGGCCCGGGCCUUCCCACUCUUCACACACCGCUCGGGGCUUCCCGUCGCUCCGAGAAGAGGACUGUCACCGUGGAGUUUUUCCUGGUGGGACAGGACAACGGGCCAGUGAAAGUGUCCACGUUGCAAUGCUUAGUAACUGCCACGGAAGGUGUCGGCUGGCAGCCCGCAUUGUGGACACGCCCUGCAAUGAAAUGAACACAGACAUCUUCCUUGAGGGAUCUACGGCGUCGGCAAAGCGGCCCUGCACCCCCCGGCCCUGGCCAUCCUCAGCCACACCCCUGACGGAGCCACGCAGACCAUCGCAUGGGUGGGCAAGGGCAUCGUCUAUGACACCGGGGGCCUCAGCAUCAAGGGGAAGAAGUCGGGACUCACACAAUCUGGACAGGCACCCUUGAGAAGUGGUAGAAAUGAUUAAAAGGGAAGGAACACAGAGUCCAAGGAGGCAAAGGCAAAGGCAAAGAGUCGUGGCAAUACCAUGUCCCCGGGUUUCCAUGGAGAGAAUUCUGAGUGGUGGCCUCAAGAAGGUCCCCUGGAAGCUGAUGACCCCACAGAAGACGCAGGGAGCAAGUCCCCUGCAGAUGCCACUGGCGGUGGCCCUAGAAGGCCCACAUGGGGUGGCUGUCCGUGGGCUGUCACUGGAGCGCAGCACCUGAAGAGCAAGCACCAUUGUGGCCGCAGCGCUGUCUCUGCCUGCACCCUGCCAUGCAGCUCUUUGUCCUCGUGCCUCCCCUGUGUGAGGAGGCAGGGGACGAGGAGAGGGAGCUCAGAGCAGGCAUUGACAAGCUGGCAGCAGCCCGCAGGGCUCACGGAUGUGCCCCGUCGGUCCGAUGAUGUGUUAAAAUUUGAGUUAGUUACCAACGUUUAAGAACAGGAAGAAUUCUCACGGAAGACUGGAUUUCAGGCCUCUUGGGAACUCAGAGCGUUUGGAAACAUUGACUCCGCCUUGGCACCCUAGCGCGCUCUGCCAGGGCCAGGGCCGAGCGUGCAGCUGCAGGGGCCCAGCCUGCCUUCUCCAGCUUGGCUCUCGCCUCCCUGAUGUUGAGCCACCACCUCAGUUGCUGCUCAGGCUGUCAGCUGUGUUUGCAGAGUGCAUGAUCGUUUCUUAAAACCUCUCUCCUCUAAACUAAAUUAUUUUCAGGACUAAUCACAAAAAUGAAACUAAUAAAGGUUUUUAAAUAAUCCCAACAGCAAACAUUCUCUUUUAUUGAAUUCCAUGCAUAUUAUCAUGCCAGUAAAUUUUUUUUAAAAUCCACUACAAGUAUAGAAAGCAGCAAUGUAUUAACUCUUUAAAUAUUAAUGGAUUUUUAAAAUAGGAAAAAUAGCUUGGUCUGUUGGAAUGGACCGUGGCAUCAGUAUUUGUAUUUGGG